GGCCCAUUCGUCUAGUGGCUAGGACGGGGCGUUCUCAGCGCCUAAACAGGAGUUCGAUUCUCCUAUGGGCUACCA
rnacentral:tRNA from 1 species